CCUACGGGGGGCAGCAGUGAGGAAUAUUGGUCAAUGGUCGGGAGACUGAACCAGCCAAGCCGCGUGAGGGAUGAAGGUACAGAGUAUCGUAAACCUCUUUUGUCAGGGAACAAAGGCGGGGACGCGUCCCCGGAGGAGUGUACCUGAAGAAAAAGCAUCGGCUAACUCCGUGCCAGCAGCCGCGGUAAUAGGGAGGAUGCGAGCGUUAUCCGGAUUUAUUGGGUUUAAAGGGUGCGCAGGCGGUCUGUAAAGUCAGCGGUCAAAGCCCGGGGCUCAACCCCGGCCCGCCGUUGAAACUGGCAGUCUCGAGUUGGAGAGAAGUAUGCGGAAUGCGCGGUGUAGCGGUGAAAUGCAUAGAUAUCGCGCAGAACUCCGAUUGCGAAGGCAGCAUGCCGGCUCCACACUGACGCUGAGGCACGAAAGCGUGGGUAUCGAACAGGAUUAGAUACCCCUGUAGUC
rnacentral:rRNA from 1 species